GGAGGUACAAGUAUCGAGCUACGUCAAAUGGAUAUCACAGAAAACUGACCAUAAAUGCAAUGCGUAUUUAAAAAAAGAUAGGGGGUCUGGACAUAGGUGAGAAUUCAGAUUCUAGCAUCACUGAUGUGAAUUGUGUAUAGCCGAAAUGCGUUCUCGGUGUAAAUAAAAAUCAUAAAUCCGAUGCCUUUGAUAACGGCAAUUGGCUAUCUAUUUUAAAAGCAAACUGAUGCACAGCAAGUGAUUGGCCCACCACCACAGCAUAAUUACAAAGCACUUUCCGUCAAUAUGGAGUAACAAAAACGGUAUCAAACCCCGCAGAGACCCAUAACACUGCCAGGCAAUGAAAGCUACCUGCUACAAUUGUGCCGAAUAAACAGAAAAGACCCACAGCAAGUGAUGGGGACCAAGGCAACCAUAAAAAGUCAAAGAUAGGGGAAUACGAGAGCAAUUCGCCACCAAUAUCACAUGUAUCGGGGUUUGAUGAGAAUACAAUGUUUAAUUUAAAUAAUAAAUAUCUUUUUUCCAGUUGUAAUAUAUAUAUAUAUAUUAUUAUUUUUUAAUUAUUUUUUUUCAUUCUAAACUUCCAUAAGAAUGAUAUAUCCUUAUGGAAGUCACAUUUUAUCACUCGAUAGUGUAAUGGGUCUAAUUUUAAUUCGUAUGAGAAAACUCAAUAAUUGAGUUAUUUUUCACACACGUUUUUUUUGUCUGAAAGAACGUACUAAUAUAGUAAGAUCACUGGUAGAUGCGAUUCACAGUGCUAGUCAAUGCAACAAGAUAAGAAUUACUAGAAAAAAGAAAUUGAUAAUUUGGUAUAAAUCAAAUUGUCCGCCACGGAGAUUGAAAUUCAAGCACAUAAACAGUAUGUAGGGUCACUGACACGAGAAGGGAAUGACUUCAAAAGACAUCUCCGAGUCAUGCACUGGAUCACAGGUUCAAAUAUUGAACCUCAUGAAGGCAGUUACUAUGAUCAAUGUGUCCUAUACUAUAUAAGGAAUCUGAAAGUGUGGUUUUUCCGAAGUGGGUCAAUUUCUAGCACCAAGUAGCAAUAAAAGAGAGUGGUGAAUAAUUGCUUUAUAAUUGGUUGAUUGAUUGAUUGUUGGUUGCUUAACGUCCAGUGGCAAAUAUUUCAUGCAUAUUCAGGACGAGAACAAGUUCACAAUAAAUACAAU
rnacentral:lncRNA from 1 species